rnacentral:tRNA from 1 species
UAACGAACGACCCUCAGUGGAUUGGGGUGCGGGCUUCAAACCUGUAGCUGACUGACGUCGGAGUGGUUCAAUUCCACCUUUCGG